GAGAAGAAAAAUGAUAUGAAUGUACAGUGCGCAAGAGGCGGGGCGGGCAGGCGGAGGGCUCCAGGGGAAAGACACGUGACUCUGUCAACCAAUGGCUGAGCCUCCUGCGAAAGUUUACCGGCUGCGGCCGUGAUGGAUCACCGUUUCAGUGGCAUUUAAGUCCCCGGCGCUCCUCAGUGUAGGUGACGCGCGCUCACCCCCCCAGGCAGCCGCGGCCGCUCCCGGAGCUGACUUGGAGCACUGGGACCAAAGGGAGUCGAGACUGCCUUCUGCGCGCGCCCGGCUCUGCGCGCCUCCGCCUCCAGAUGUGGGGGAUGGGAGACACCCUCCGCGGCCCCUUCCCCACCCAGCCCAGAAAGCUGAACUGGCAAGAGCCCACGUGGGGUGUUUUCUUCAGGAUCACAAACACACUGGACCCACAGACACGACACGCAGCGCUCCGCAGACCUUGCUCUGUUAAGCACCAGCUCGGCCUCUGCUGACUGCAGGCCCAUGCUUUCCCGAGGAGGCUCGCCCCUAGCUUGGAGCCGGUCUGUUAUUCCUGAACCCAUCCACAGCUGGGAGAUUAAUCAACCACGCUGAAAAUGGGGGGGAGGGAGGGAGAAGGAAGAGUUGGAACGUAGAUGUUUGAAACAAGUGUGUAUAAAUAAAUGAAUUUCUGAUAACUCCGUUAUUGACCUAGAGACUAGUAGCUUGGUUAAGGAACUCCACUCUACUCAUCCUAGAACCCGAAGUUUCUGUAGGCACUUUACUUCUCCACUUUCAAAAGCUUGGGCCAGGGCCAACUCAGUCUGUCCAAGCCUAUUUCUAUUACUAAUGUAAUUCUAUGGCCUGAGUCUCAAUACUGAAAACCAAAUCCAUUCCCUUAGGGGGGAAAAAAAAGCCAAAAAAAAAAAAAAAAAUCUUGCCAGGAGCCCUAGCCCUUUCUGGUUUUCUUCUUUGCUGCUGUCUGUUGCAGACUUUGAACAUUGCCACCCUAAUAAAAUAUAUUAAGAUUGAAAAA